rnacentral:rRNA from 1 species
AUCACGCCGCGUGAGGGAUGAAGGCCUCUGGGCUGUAAACCUCUUUUAUCAAGGAAGAAGAUCUGACGGUACUUGAUGAAUAAGCCACGGCUAAUUCCGUGCCAGCAGCCGCGGUAAUACGGGAGUGGCAAGCGUUAUCCGGAAUUAUUGGGCGUAAAGCGUCCGCAGGCGGUCUUGUAAGUCUGUCGUUAAAGCGUGGAGCUUAACUCCAUUUGAGCGAUGGAAACUGCAAGACUAGAGUGUGGUAGGGGCAGAGGGAAUUCCCGGUGUAGCGGUGAAAUGCGUAGAUAUCGGGAAGAACACCAGUGGCGAGGGCGCUCUGCUGGGCCAUAACUGACGCUCAUGGACGAAAGCCAGGGGAGCGAAAGGGAUUAGAUACCCCUGUAGUCCUGGCCGUAAACGAUGAACACUAGGUGUCGGGGGAAUCGACCCCCUCGGUGUCGUAGCCAACGCGUUAAGUGUUCCGCCUGGGGAGUACGCACGCAAGUGUGAAACUCAAAGGAAUUGACGGGGGCCCGCACAAGCGGUGGAGUAUGUGGUUUAAUUCGAUGCAACGCGAAGAACUUUACAGGUUUGACUCCUGCGAAUCCUUGGAAC